CCGGAUCCUUACUCUCAACUGGAAUCAUCUUAUCUUGUUACUACCCUAUGCAAUAGGCAACAAACACCUUUUCUUCUUUAUACGACAAAAGACUCGCACUAGGCCUCUCACUAGUCGAAUAGAACUCACUCGUAUUCUUUACUUAUGGGGCUUGGCUUCAAAACCUUUCAUUUCUUUUAGUACAGGUCCAACAACAUAAUGCUUG
rnacentral:lncRNA from 1 species